rnacentral:misc_RNA from 1 species
GGGAAAUCCAGAUCUUUGUAGUGACAAUUUUGGUAGUCUCAUGCCAUGUUCAUCAGAUACGCACACAUCUAAAGACCACAGGACAGUCGUGUUGUGCUUGAUAGCUGGGGUGGUGGUUCUUGUUCUGUCACUUACAGGUUUCAUUUAUGUGAAGUUUAAGCACAAUAAUCAGGAUAUUCCCGUAAAGAGACUUGAUUCUUGGGAUAUCAAACAGUUCCAUGUAUUGAGCUUUAGUGAAGAUCAAGUCAUGAAGGCACUGAAGCAAGAAAAUUUGAUUGGUAGAGGUGGUUCAGGGAAUGUGUACAGAUUAGUCUUGAACUGUGGAAAACAGUUGGCCGUGAAACACAUUAUAAAAUCCGAUUGUGGUGACCAGAAAAGUUACCGGAGCAGCUCAGCCAUACUGGUGAAGGAGAAUCACAGAUCAAAAGAGUAUGAUGCUGAGGUGACCACGUUAAGUUCCAUUAGGCAUGUCAAUGUUGUCAAAUUGUACUGUAGCAUCACAAGUGAGG